UACGGGGGGGGCAAGCGUUGUUCGGAAUUACUGGGCGUAAAGGGCGCGUAGGCGGCGCGGUAAGUCGGGUGUGAAAUCUCGGGGCUUAACUCCGAAACUGCAUUCGAUACUGCCGUGCUUGAGGACUGGAGAGGAGACUGGAAUUUACGGUGUAGCGGUGAAAUGCGUAGAUAUCGAGAGGAACACCGGUGGCGAAGGCGGCUAUCUGGACAGUGACUGACGCUGAGACGCGAAAGCGUGGGGAGCAAACAGG
rnacentral:rRNA from 1 species